UACGUAGGGGGGCAAGCGUUGUCCGGAAUCAUUGGGCGUAAAGCGCGUGUAGGCGGUCCGGUAAGUCCGCUGUGAAAGUCCAGGGCUCAACCCUGGGGAUGCCGGUGGAUACUGGUCGGGCUAGAGUACGGAAGAGGCGAGUGGAAUUCCCGGUGUAGCGGUGAAAUGCGCAGAUAUCGGGAGGAACACCAAUUGCGAAGGCAGCUCGCUGGGACGUUACUGACGCUGAGACGCGAAAGCGUGGGGAGCGAACAGG
rnacentral:rRNA from 1 species